AUGUAUAAGUGUAACCUGCCAGACAGGGAAACUGCGUACGGCUCAUUACACCAGCUAUAAUUUACUUGACCUUGACUUCUUACUUGGAUAACUGUGGUAAUUCUAGAGCUAAUACAUGCACCAAAGCUCCAAUCUUCCCAGAGCGGAGCGCAUUUGUUCGCCACAAAACCAAGCGCCUUCGGGCGUCCAGUGUUGACUCAGAACAACUAAGCUGAUCGCACGGUCUUGCACCGGCGACGUGUCUUUCAAGUGUCUGCCUUAUCAACUUUCGAUGGUAGUGUACCUGACUACCAUGGUGAUGACGGGUAACGGAGGAUAAGGGUUCGACUCCGGAGAAGGGGCCUGAGAAAUGGCCACUACGUCUAAGGAUGGCAGCAGGCGCGCAAAUUACCCACUCUCAACAUGAGGAGGUAGUGACGAGAAAUAACGAGACCGAUCUCUUAUGAGGCCGGUCAUCGGAAUGGGUACAAUUUAAACCCUUUAACGAGUAUCUAUGAGAGGGCAAGUCUGGUGCCAGCAGCCGCGGUAAUUCCAGCUCUCAAAAUGCAUAGAAUUAUUGCUGCGGUUAAAAAGCUCGUAGUUGGAUCUGUGCUAGCCGGCCGGUCCACCCACUGGGUGCGCACUGGUUCGGUUGGCUUUUCUGCCGGUCUCUCCCCGGCGUUGGCCUUCACUGGUCGGCGUCGGUGGGCUGGCGAGUUUACUUUGAACAAAUCAGAGUGCUUCAAACAGGCGUUUCGCUUGAAUGUUCGUGCAUGGAAUAAUAGAAGAGGAUUUCGGUCCGAUUCUAUUGGUUUUGCUGACCGAGAUAAUGGUUAACAGAGACAAACGGGGCCAUUCGUAUUGCUACGUGAGAGGUGAAAUUCUUGGACCGUAGCAAGACGGACUACAGCGAAAGCAUUUGGCAAGAAUGUCUUCAUUAAUCAAGAACGAAAGUCAGAGGUUCGAAGGCGAUCAGAUACCGCCCUAGUUCUGACCGUAAACGAUGCCAACUAGCGAUCCGCCGGCGGAUUCAUUCGCCCUGGUGGGGAGCUUCCCGGAAACGAAAGUCUUCCGGUUCCGGGGGAAGUAUGGUUGCAAAGCUGAAACUUAAAGGAAUUGACGGAAGGGCACCACCAGGAGUGGAGCCUGCGGCUUAAUUUGACUCAACACGGGGAAACUCACCCGGCCCGGACACCGUAAGGAUUGACAGAUUGAUAGCUUUUUCAUGAUUCGGUGGAUGGUGGUGCAUGGCCGUUCUUAGUUCGUGGAGCGAUUUGUCUGGUUUAUUCCGAUAACGAGCGAGACUCUAGCCUACUAAAUAGUUGGCUCAUUGCUACUGUGGGCACAACUUCUUAGAGGGAUUUUCGGUGUUCAGCCGCACGAAAUUGAGCAAUAACAGGUCUGUGAUGCCCUUAGAUGUCCGGGGCUGCACGCGCGCUACACUGGCAAAAUCAGCGUGCUUGUCCUUCCCCGAAAGGGGUUGGUAAACCGGUGAAAAUUUGCCGUGAUUGGGAUCGGACAUUGCAAUUAUUGUCCGUGAACGAGGAAUUCCUUGUAGGGGCGAGUCAUCAACUCGCUCUGAAUACGUCCCUGCCCUUUGUACACACCGCCCGUCGCUGCCCGGGACUGAGCCAUUUCGAGAAACUCGGGGACGAUUAUGCGUGCCGGCUUCGGUUGGCGCGUUGAUUGAAACCGAUUUAAUCGCAGUGGCUUGAAUCGGGC
rnacentral:rRNA from 1 species